rnacentral:rRNA from 1 species
AGCGAACGCUGGCGGCAGGCCUAACACAUGCAAGUCGAACGAACUCUUCGGAGUUAGUGGCGGACGGGUGAGUAACACGUGGGAACGUGCCUUUUGGUUCGGAAUAACUCAGGGAAACUUGUGCUAAUACCGAAUGUGCCCUUCGGGGGAAAGAUUUAUCGCCAUUAGAGCGGCCCGCGUCUGAUUAGCUAGUUGGUGAGGUAACGGCUCACCAAGGCGACGAUCAGUAGCUGGUCUGAGAGGAUGACCAGCCACACUGGGACUGAGACACGGCCCAGACUCCUACGGGAGGCAGCAGUGGGGAAUCUUGCGCAAUGGGCGAAAGCCUGACGCAGCCAUGCCGCGUGAAUGAUGAAGGACUUAGGAUUGUAAAAUUCUUUCACCGGGGACGAUAAUGACGGUACCCGGAGAAGAAGCCCCGGCUAACUUCGUG